rnacentral:rRNA from 1 species
CUGGCGGCAGGCCUAACACAUGCAAGUCGAGCGCUCACUUCGGUGGGAGCGGCGGACGGGUUAGUAACGCGUGGGAAUAUACCCGGUACUAAGGAAUAGCCUUUGGAAACGAAGAGUAAUACCUUAUACGCCCUUCGGGGGAAAGAUUUAUCGGUAUCGGAUUAGCCCGCGUAAGAUUAGAUAGUUGGUGGGGUAAUGGCCUACCAAGUCUACGAUCUUUAGCUGGUUUUAGAGGAUGAUCAGCAACACUGGGACUGAGACACGGCCCAGACUCCUACGGGAGGCAGCAGUGGGGAAUCUUAGACAAUGGGCGCAAGCCUGAUCUAGCCAUGCCGCGUGAGUGAAGAAGGCCUUAGGGUCGUAAAACUCUUUCGCCAGAGAUGAUAAUGACAGUAUCUGGUAAAGAAACCCCGGCUAACUCCGUGCCAGCAGCCGCGGUAAUACGGAGGGGGUUAGCGUUGUUCGGAAUUACUGGGCGUAAAGCGCACGUAGGCGGACUGGAAAGUUGGGGGUGAAAUCCCGGGGCUCAACCUCGGAACUGCCUCCAAAACUAUCAGUCUAGAGUUCGAGAGAGGUGAGUGGAAUUCCAAGUGUAGAGGUGAAAUUCGUAGAUAUUUGGAGGAACACCAGUGGCGAAGGCGGCUCACUGGCUCGAUACUGACGCUGAGGUGCGAAAGUGUGGGGAGCAAACAGGAUUAGAUACCCUGGUAGUCCACACCGUAAACGAUGAA